rnacentral:rRNA from 1 species
UUGGAGGGCAAGUCUGGUGCCAGCAGCCGCGGUAAUUCCAGCUCCAAUAGCGUAUAUUAAAGUUGUUGCAGUUAAAAAGCUCGUAGUUGAAUUUCGGGGUUCUACCGUUGGUCGGGCUUUGUCUGUACUGGUGUGUAGAAUUUCUACCUUCUGGGGAACCAUCAUGCUAUUAAUUUAGCGUGGUGGGAAACCAGGACCUUUACCUUGAAAAAAUUAGUGUGUUCAAAGCAGGCUUAUGUCUGAAUACAUUAGCGUGGAAUAAUAGAAUAGGACGGUGGUCCUGUUUUGUUGGUUUCUGAAUCACCGUAAUGAUUAAUAGGGAUAGUUGGGGGCAUUAGUAUUCAAUUGUCAGAGGUGAAAUUCUUGGAUUUAUUGAAGACUAACUUCUGCGAAAGCAUUUGCCAAGGAUGUUUUCAUUAAUCAAGAACGAAAGUUAGGGGAUCGAAGACGAUCAGAUACCGUCGUAGUCUUAACCAUAAACUAUGCUGACUAGGGAUCGGACGAUGUUAAUUUUUCUUGACUUGUUCGGCGCCUUACGGGAAAC